GUACGAGGUGACCUGCCGCGUCAGGACCAACGUGGCGGUCUUCAGGUCCGUCAAACACUUGUCCAAAAUGGCCAGAAAUCCUGGGAUGAUACUCUUAUUUGACGUUGACGGCACGCUCACCGCUCCCAGGAAGUGUGGACACGUGGAGAAAACGAGCUAGCGUGCGAGCCAUCAUGUAAACACACCCCUCGGCACGCCAACCUAACUCUCACGUACUUAACGAUUUUAUCACAAGAGUCCUCCAUUCCUGCGGGACCGAAGGAAGGGGGAACUCGUGGCACUCACAGGAGGAAACGCAGAAGUAGAGAGAAGACUCAGAACCCCUGGGAGCGAGUCCCUCAGCUCGCUACUUUCCGCAACUUAGAUCUGGCAACCCUGACUGACACAACGGGCCAGUACACCGUCGACCACCAGGCGGGGAAGAUGUACUGCUUACGCACAGUAAAUUAGGCCAUGUGGCGCGUGUUUGUGUGUAUAGAAGUGACGAGGCUUCAGGUCUGACUGACGUGGUGUGGGGCGAGUGUCUGAAGUG